GAUGAACGCUGGCGGCGUGCCUAAUACAUGCAAGUCGAUCGAACAGACGAGGAGCUUGCUCCUCUGACGUUAGCGGCGGACGGGUGAGUAACACGUGGAUGACCUACCUAUAAGACUGGGAUAACUUCGGGAAACCGGAGCUAAUACCGGAUAAUAUAUUGAACCGCAUGGUUCAAUAGUGAAAGACGGUUUUGCUGUCACUUAUAGAUGGAUCCGCGCCGCAUUAGCUAGUUGGUAAGGUAACGGCUUACCAAGGCAACGAUGCGUAGCCGACCUGAGAGGGUGAUCGGCCACACUGGAACUGAGACACGGUCCAGACUCCUACGGGAGGCAGCAGUAGGGAAUCUUCCGCAAUGGGCGAAAGCCUGACGGAGCAACGCCGCGUGAGUGAUGAAGGUCUUCGGAUCGUAAAACUCUGUUAUUAGGGAAGAACAAAUGUGUAAGUAACUAUGCACGUCUUGACGGUACCUAAUCAGAAAGCCACGGCUAACUACGUG
rnacentral:rRNA from 1 species